rnacentral:rRNA from 1 species
GAAGUCUAACAUGUGCGCGAGUCAUUGGGUGGUAAAACCUAAAGGCGGAAUGAAAGUGAAGGAAGCUUUGCUUUCCGAGGGAGGAUGGGGACGUCGGCUCAAAGGGCGGUCCCCCGCACUCCCGGGGCGUCUCACUCUCAACGCGAGAAGAGGCGCACCCAGAGCGUACACGUUAGGACCCGAAAGAUGGUGAACUAUGCCUGGUCAGGACGAAGCCAGGGGAAACCCUGGUGGAGGUCCGUAGCGAUUCUGACGUGCAAAUCGAUCGUCAGAGCUGGGUAUAGGGGCGAAAGACUAAUCGAACCAUCUAGUAGCUGGUUCCUUCCGAAGUUUCCCUCAGGAUAGCUGGUGCCCGUGUGAGACGAGUCUCAUCCGGUAAAGCGAAUGAUUAGAGGCCUUGGGGCCGAAACGACCUCAACCUAUUCUCAAACUUUAAAUAGAUGAGAUCUCCGGCUUGCUUGAAAGUGAAGCCGGAGACUCGGAUCAGGGUGCCCAGUGGGCCAAUUUUG